UUUCCGUAGGUGAACCUGCGGAAGGAUCAUUAUUGUAUCACCGAGGUUCGACGCUUGUCGCUCACCCGACCUGUCCUUCACGCCCGAGUGCCCUCUCCCACAUCCAUCUCACCCCUCUCCGCACCCCCGCGUGGCUCCCCCUUUUGCUUGUUCGGAGGUGGGCUUACGUUUCCACACAAUCUUUGCAUUCAGCGUAGAAUGUAUUUUUUGUUUUUUCGAUCACGCACUCAAUACAACUUUCAACAACGCAUCUCUUCUCCCUCGCAUCGAUGUAGAACC
rnacentral:misc_RNA from 1 species